rnacentral:lncRNA from 1 species
UAUGUUUGAAUAAUCUCUACAUAGUUUUGACUUGUGUUUCAAAACAUGAAAUCUCUUACACUGUUUGCAUUUUUGGAUGGUCUAAACUAUGUUUUAAUGAAACAAUUAUGCAUGAUACAUUAUGGCUCAGAAAUAGGACUUGCAAGUCUUGGUGUGAUGACACCAACUCAGAUAAUGCCAUAGUAAUUCAGAACAGAAUAGAAU